UACAUAGAGCUUGAGUAGUAGUACGAGAAUAGGAAGUAGUUAAGUCAGUUUAUAGUUUGAGAGUUAGCGGUUUAGUCCCUAGAGUAUUUUCAUUUUGGCCCAGUUAGUAUUAUAUUUCUUUAACUUUAGUCUCCAUCUCAGUAACGUUAUAUGUAUUGCACUUUACCCAUUUGAGGAUUAUGAAUGAGAAUACUAGUUCCUUUCUCUUCUCUCUUAGAUUGCUAGCUUAGAUCUCAUUAUUUUCUUUGCAAGUUCACAGAUUAUAUCACUAUCAUGCAUUCAAGUAACUAAUCUAAGUUGAAGUAACUAAAAGAUGAUAGGAACGAAGGUAACAACAUUCUAAUCCAUUUACUUAGGUUGCAUCAAUACGUUAUCAAAUUGAACUCUUCUAGUAAAAGUAACUACUGAAAAUAGGGCCUAUGGCAACACUAUUUUCAGCAACGGUUGUGAAACCGUUACUAUAGACUGUAUAUCGCAACGAUUGUAACCGUUGCAUAAGGUUUUGCUAUCACCACACUUUAGCACUGAAGUCGUUGCAUUAGUGUCGAAACCGUUGCAGUAUAGUGACUUUUUGCAACGGCUUUUGUAAUUGUUGCAAUAAAUAAGGCCCUCCUACAAUUGUGACACUACUUUCCUCGACUAACCUCACAUUUGAGAACCGUCUACCACCAUCAAAACCAAAAGCGAUGGCCGCCCAACUUCAAUAAUUUCACCACACUUACUGUUAGACUCAUGCAAUCUAUCCUAAAGCCAUCAAUUCAUCCCGCAAAAUCGUCGUCGGUAGAUCUAUUUGAGGCUUCUUCGCUAGAAAUCGGUGGCUGAGGGAGAACAAGAGGAAGUUAUAAAUAUUUAGGGUUUCUUCCUUAAUCAUCUUUUUAACUUAUUAAUUUCUUGUUGAGUCCAUUAUUUUCUUUCAAUUGAAGCUUUGAAUCUAAAUUGGGGAUCUCUUAAGGUUUCUUAUAUUGUAAUUCCUUCCCUUUGCUCUUGAUUUUUUAAAGAAAAUAGAAUAUUUCUAUCUAAUUUUCGUUUAUAUCCUUAUAGUUGUUUGUAAGAAGGAUGCACUGAUUAUGUUUUCUGUGUUGUUCAUAGUUAUAAUUUUGGCCCAAUUACAAGUCCCAGCUCAGGUUUUGCUUUGCCUCUCGCCUUUGGUGGUUUACUAGGGCUGCUAUAUCUAUGCUUGAGCAGGUACAAUUUGGUCUGCACUCUAAAAAUAGUUUGAAUUUUUAUACUAUGAAAACAACUACUUAUCUUUUGGUAGUGGCCGUCUUUUGCUUUAUAAUAUUCAUGUGAGGACUUUGUGUCUCUAUAAAUUUGUUGCUUUGAUCUAACAGUUGUUGAAAUAUUUUUUUUCUUUAGUUCCUCUGUUUUGCUUAGGCAUUAAAGUUUUUUCUUUUUAAAUAUCAUGUAUUAGCUUGUGUGUGUGUGUGUACACACACACACUUGAAGAUUGUAUACCUUGUAAUGCUUAGUGAAUAAUAAUCAAACUGUAAUCAUAUUUUUGGCUAUUUCCUUCAAUAUAUUUCUAGUAUUGAUUACAUGGUGUCAGUCUGUUGUGACUAGAAAAGUUCAAGAAACUAAACUUUAAAAUUAAAAAACAUAUCUAAUGCUUUUGUUCGUUGUAAUACUUUGGUAUUGUUCAAUAUUCAAUAUUUCUUUAUUUUCAUUUGUUUGUACCUUUAUGUUGUCUAUGCUCCAAGGUUUAGACCUAUCGUGACAUCUGUUUUAAUGACAUGUUACUUGAUAAAGAGCUAAUACCAAUGCUAGUAUCUUGUAGCAAUCUGAAUGGAUGAAAGUAAGUUAUUGCAACAGGUUGACCAGUUUAGCUGUUUCAUCGGCCAAGUGUUAGACAUAGUUGAUGUAAUACACUUUUGUGGGAUUGAGGCACAAACUAUUUGUAUUAUGAAGAACUAUAUAUUAUUUCUGGAGAUUGUUUUCUCAAUGUAGUCGGAGAUUGCUGUUUUAUCCUGUAGAAGAAUAGAAAAUAUUUAACUACUGGAGGUCCCUCUUCAUCUAUUUUUAUUGUGAAGAACAAAAUAUAUUUUCUGAAAGCGAAAACGACAAUUUGAUCUUGUUUGUCAAUUUCUUAAUUUAUGUUUAGUUGUUAUGGUUUAAUAGAAUUUGAAGAUUGCGUACCUUGAAAUGAUUUCGAUCUUAAACCGUUUUCUUGGAAUUUGUGGAGUGAACAUCUUAAAACUGUAGUUUCGAUCUUAAUAGCAACCUCUUAAAUUUAUGAGUGCAUUUGUGGAUGCAGGGAAGUGAAUUAGUUGUCGAAAAGGUUCCCUUUCUCCAAAUUUUUUCUUAACUAAGUUAGAUAUAAGGUUGAAUAGCUUUCACCGUGAUGUAAUUUACUUAUAAUAUUUUCAUUUGCAUGUAACUCCGUUGGCUGCCUGUAGCAAUUGCUAAUUCAAUCGUUAUAUUUUCAUUUUGUUAGGUUUGCAAUUGGCUUUAUCUCCUACUAUGGCCUUCUUGAAGGUAUACCCAUUUUCUUAAUCUUCUUGCCGUUUUAUUCCUUUACAUUUCUUUUUCCACUUAUGCGAGUUUGAAAUAAAGACUUAGGUGGUGAUCAUUGUUGAAGGUGAUUGUUAAGCCUUCAAACAUCUAUGAAAGUGGUAAAAUUAGCUAAAUUAUUAUCUUGCUUUGACAUCUUGAUGUGUUUGGUCAUAUUGUUACGUUCCUUGUACUACCACAAGUUUUCUUCCAAUCUAAGAUAAUACAAAGUUCAUCUCUAUUUGGACUUUGCCUAAAUUCCUUGAAACUCUUCUUUAUCAUAGUUGGUACUUGUGAUGAGGGCGUACAAUGCAGUUAACACGCUCUUGAAUUAUUCUCUGACAGUUCUUUUUGCAGUCUUUUUCUUGAUGUCACAACUAUAGUUUUUAGUUUCUAAUUUUAUCUUUACCUUUCUUUUGACUGGGCAUUCAACUAUGUCAAAAUUUCAGUUUGGAUUGUUAGUAGUAUGUACUUCAACAUUUAGACGAUUAUGCUUCCAAGUGAAUAAUAAAUUAUAUUGAAAAAUUGAGCUUCUUGUUAGUACUUUUUCAGGUGAAAAACUUUGAACUUAACUCCAUUUAUCAAUAUAGCAGUUUAAAUAUUUCUGGAGUGGACUGGUCAAUUGGAUGAUGGACCAUAGGUUAGAAAAAGCUGUCAAAUUAUGUGGCCUUCUAUGCGUGUAGAAAUUCACCAUUAUCUUGUUAUAGCAAAUCAUUCUAUGGUAUAUGACUUAUGCUUCGGUAGUUUUAUACCUCUGUCCAUCAUUGCAAGUAACAAUUAGAGAAGAAAACUUAAGCACAAUUUGCAUAAUGAAUUCUUUUGUUGCAUAAAAUAAUUAAUGCUUGGUUGAGUACUUGAACUAUUCCCUAUUCCACAAUAGCAAUGCUUAUCUAGGACCUCACUAUUUUAUAUCUUAGCUUUCGGCUUAAUUUAUUGUUUGACUUUUUUUAAUUAAUUAUAUGUAAUUCCUAAUCUGACAAAUAUUGAUUUUUUUUUAUUUAUGGUUUUAUAGGUGAAGCAUAUGAACAAGGGUAGAUGAAAGGUGUGAAGAUCUUACUCAAGAGUAUUAGUUGAUUGUUGUUAAACUUUUAGAUGUUCUAGAAUCUUUUAUUUUAGAAACUUUUGCCAACUUAUGUAUUAACUCUUGAAUUGCCAAACGACAUUGUAUAUUUAGCUUUUAUAUAUGGAUAAUACUAGUUGGAUAUUUUAGAUAUAAUUUUAUAUAUUGAUGAGGAGUUUCCUUUUGA
rnacentral:lncRNA from 1 species